UUUGGUUAACUUAAACAUUUUUAUUUUCUGUUUGAAAUCAAAUGUUUUUUUGUACGUUUACAUUUAUUUUUGGAAUUCUGCACACUUACAUAGGUAGUUAACUACAUUCUGUUCUAAGCCAGUUAUCUCAGCCCAUCUAUCUCUUCUGUCUUUUGUUUUUCUUCUCUUUCCUUUUUGCUCUUGGGCCAAAUUCCCACUAAGGCCCAUAUCAGGCGCUGGCCUUCUUCUUCGUCCUCUGUACGUUCAUCUGGAGCUGGAACAAAACAGAAACAGCCAUGGCCUCCUCCUCUGCCUUUCCUCCUCACACUCAAUUCCUUGUCCGUUUCACUUCGGGGCCUGCACGAAGAAUGCGGAGCGCAUCAUGAUUUAUUACUUUAUAAUUCGUCGAACGGAUCCGCGAAACGUACAUGCACAACCAACCAUUAAUGCCACAUUGAGCUCCCUUGAUCUCCCCGUACUGGCUCCCUCAGCCACUAUAAAUUGACCCCGAGGAACCCCUCUCAACCCCGCACCUCCCAGUCCACGAUCCCCUGUCCAAGGCCCUCCGACUCCCGAGCAAUUGCUCGCCGGAGCCGAGCGUCGCCGCCUUCUUCUGUUGAAGCUCGCGAUCUCUCCAAGCACGAUCUCCGCGAAGAACGCGACCCACCCGAGCUCCACUUAACUCCGGCGGCCGCUCCACGCCGCCACGGGACGAGGCCAAGCCCGGAAUAUUUCCCAAUGGACUCCCCUCGUCGGCCUCUUCGCUGUUCAUCUUCUACUUAACGUCGGGGACCGUCUUCCACAACUCCGGCGACCUUCUUCCCCAACUCCGGCGACCAACUCCGGCAAGCCUCCUCUAAAUUCCAUAUAUCGUAACGUAAAGGAGUGACGAUAACAAGUAGGGAAUUAACUUCAAG